rnacentral:rRNA from 1 species
GACGAACGCUGGCGGCGUGCUUAACACAUGCAAGUCGAACGGAAAGGCCCUGCUUUUGUGGGGUGCUCGAGUGGCGAACGGGUGAGUAACACGUGAGUAACCUGCCCUUGACUUUGGGAUAACUUCAGGAAACUGGGGCUAAUACCGGAUAGGAGCUCCUGCUGCAGGGUGGGGGUUGGAAAGGUUCGGCGGUUGGGGAUGGACUCGCGGCUUAUCAGCUUGUUGGUGGGGUAGUGGCUUACCAAGGCUUUGACGGGUAGCCGGCCUGAGAGGGUGACCGGCCACAUUGGGACUGAGAUACGGCCCAGACUCCUACGGGAGGCAGCAGUGGGGAAUAUUGCACAAUGGGCGGAAGCCUGAUGCAGCAACGCCGCGUGCGGGAUGACGGCCUUCGGGUUGUAACCCGCUUUCGCCUGUGACGAAGCGUGAGUGACGGUAAUGGGUAAAGAAGCACCGGCUAACUACGUG